GCCGUCCCCCUCCUCACCCCCCCUGGUGCUGCGCAGGCCCGGAGGGGAAAGGACACGCACGUCCCUACCGGGGGGUGAGCGGGGGGGGGGAAGGUUAGAGAAAGAGAAGGAAAGGGGAAAACUAAUAAAACUAAAUAAAAGAAAGUGGGAGAAAGGGCAGACGUACCGGGGUGCCGAGGAAGGGGAGGCACGGCCGGGCGGCCCCACCGGGAAGGGAAGAGGGAGAGCAGAAAGUCAGCGGAGAGAUGCGCGGCUCAAGCCGUCUGUACCUGUGGAGAAGGGGCCGCCUUCAUCCCAACUUCCCAGCGCCGGCGCGGCCCUCCCGUCCGGGAAAAGCGGGCAGGGGCCACCGCGGGACCCGCCGCCGCUGGCAGGAAAAUCAACCCGAAGGAAAAGUUUAAAAGGAAACUUUUUCUACUUCCCCAACGCGCAUUUAAAGGAAUCGCACGGCCAGCCGACACGCUGCAAGAUACACACCUCCCGCCUGCCCCCCUCCUAAGCGUUUGCUUUUCCUUCUUUUUCUUCGCUCCCUUCCCCCCCCCCCACCUCCUCCCUCCAAGGAAAAAAAAACCCGGAGAGAUCCCUGCAGAGUUAAGGCACACUCCUGCCCUUUGUGAGGCAGCAGCCCCGCGGUACUUACGCCGGACUUUGCUGGGGCUGGGCUGCUUGCGCCGCGACAUGCCGGGAAGAUGGGCCGCAGAAAA